rnacentral:rRNA from 1 species
CUUAACACAUGCAAGUCGAACGGAAAGGCCCUGCUUUUGUGGGGUGCUCGAGUGGCGAACGGGUGAGUAACACGUGAGUAACCUGCCCUUGACUUUGGGAUAACUUCAGGAAACUGGGGCUAAUACCGGAUAGGAGCUCCUGCUGCAUGGUGGGGGUUGGAAAGUUUCGGCGGUUGGGGAUGGACUCGCGGCUUAUCAGCUUGUUGGUGGGGUAGUGGCUUACCAAGGCUUUGACGGGUAGCCGGCCUGAGAGGGUGACCGGCCACAUUGGGACUGAGAUACGGCCCAGACUCCUACGGGAGGCAGCAGUGGGGAAUAUUGCACAAUGGGCGGAAGCCUGAUGCAGCAACGCCGCGUGCGGGAUGACGGCCUUCGGGUUGUAAACCGCUUUCGCCUGUGACGAAGCGUGAGUGACGGUAAUGGGUAAAGAAGCACCGGCUAACUACGUGCCAGCAGCCGCGGUGAUACGUAGGGUGCGAGCGUUGUCCGGAUUUAUUGGGCGUAAAGGGCUCGUAGGUGGUUGAUCGCGUCGGAAGUGUAGUCUUGGGGCUUAACCCUGAGCGUGCUUUCGAUACGGGUUGACUUGAGGAAGGUAGGGGAGGAUGGAAUUCCUGGUGGAGCGGUGGAAUGCGCAGAUAUCAGGAGGAACACCAGUGGCGAAGGCGGUUCUCUGGGCCUUUCCUGACGCUGAGGAGCGAAAGCGUGGGGAGCGAACAGGCUUAGAUACCCUGGUAGUCCACGCUGUAAACGGUGGGUACUAGGUGUGGGGUCCAUUCCACGGGUUCCGUGCCGUAGCUAACGCUUUAAGUACCCCGCCUGGGGAGUACGGCCGCAAGGCUAAAACUCAAAGGAAUUGACGGGGCCCCGCACAAGCGGCGGAGCAUGCGGAUUAAUUCGAUGCAACGCGUAGAACCUUACCUGGGUUUGACAUGGAUCGGGAGUGCUCAGAGAUGGGUGUGCCUCUUUUGGGGUCGGUUCACAGGUGGUGCAUGGCUGUCGUCAGCUCGUGUCGUGAGAUGUUGGGUUAAGUCCCGCAACGAGCGCAACCCUUGUUCACUGUUGCCAGCACGUUAUGGUGGGGACUCAGUGGAGACCGCCGGGGUCAACUCGGAGGAAGGUGGGGAUGACGUCAAGUCAUCAUGCCCCUUAUGUCCAGGGCUUCACGCAUGCUACAAUGGCUGGUACAGAGAGUGGCGAGCCUGUGAGGGUGAGCGAAUCUCGGAAAGCCGGUCUCAGUUCGGAUUGGGGUCUGCAACUCGACCUCAUGAAGUCGGAGUCGCUAGUAAUCGCAGAUCAGCAACGCUGCGGUGAAUACGUUCCCGGGGCUUGUACACACCGCCCGUCAAGUCAUGAAAGUUGGUAACACCCGAAGCCGGUGGCCUAACCGUUGUGGGGGAGCCGUCGAAGGUGGGACUGGUGAUUAGGACUAAGAU